GGGUGGAAACUGAAGGGUGGUGGGAACUUUUUAAGGUCUGGUGGCAGCUUUUUUACAGGGGACCUUGGAGAGAUGGGAUAUCCCCGCCUGUCUGUGAGACCUGUAGUGCCGACUUACACUGUGUGGUUAUAUAUCUGUAUGGAUAAGAAACAGUUUGAAGCUUCCCUAAAAACCUUUCAAGAGGAGGACAAGUGACAUCCUGGGCUGACUGAGGCAGCAAAGGAGACAAGACAGGAGAUGCUGACUCGAGUCAGUGCUGAGAAGCAGAAGCUGCAGGCGAUGCUGAAAGGACUCCACCGGGUGCUGAGUGACCAGGAAUCACGGUUCCUUUCCUGGCUCCAUCGCCUGUGCUGGAGGUUGGAAGAACAGCAACGUGGUGAAGCUGAUGAAAUGACGUGGAUCUAGCAAUGCUGUGCAGAGCUCCAGGCCAAGUGCCAGCAACUGGAUGGUGACCUGCUACGGGACACCCAAACCACCUUGAGGAGGUAUUGGAGACAAAAAGCAUCACCAAGAACACCAGUUUUUGGCCCCAAAUCCUCCAUUUUUAGGAUCUUCUUCUCACCCUGCAUUCUUUUUCCUCUGGGAUUUUUGCUUUGGAGCUGGAGGGGUUGAUGGUUAAUCCAAAACUUGGUGAUGAUGGGGGAAUCUUCCAUCAUAUCUUGCAGGAGUGGGAGCCUUGCCCAGGGAAGUAAAGUCUCUGUGGUUUUCUAGCAAUGAGGAAAGGAAAUUAGGGAAUUUCUUGGCAUUAAACACCCCAAUUUGCUCCCCUUGAGGUGCGCAGA